rnacentral:rRNA from 1 species
UUCCGGUUGAUCCUGCCGGAGGACAUUGCUAUUGGGAUUCGAUUUAGCCAUGCUAGUCGGACGAGUUUAGACUCGUGGCAGAUAGCUCAGUAACACGUGGCCAGGCUACCCUUCAGUCGGCAAUACCCUCGGGAAACUGAGGUUAACGGCCGAUGUGGGACGCCUGCUGGAAUGCGGCGUUCUCUAAAGGCGACGCUGAAGGAUGCGGCUGCGGCCGAUUAGGUUGACGGUGGGGUAACGGCCCACCGUGCCAGUAAUCGGUACGGGUGAUGAGAGUCAGAGCCCGGAGACGGAAUCUGAGACAAGAUUCCGGGCCCUACGGGGCGCAGCAGGCGCGAAACCUUUACACUGCACGGAAGUGCGAUAGGGGAAUCCCAAGUGCGAGGGCAUAUUCGCCCUCGCUUUUGUUGACCGUAAGGUGGUCAACGAAUAAGAGCUGGGCAAGACCGGUGCCAGCCGCCGCGGUAAUACCGGCAGCUCGAGUGAUGUCCAAUAUUAUUGGGCCUAAAGCGUCCGUAGCUGGCCGCGCAAGUCCGUCGGGAAAUCCACCUGCCCAACAGGUGGGCGUCCGGCGGAAACUGUGUGGCUUGGAACCGGAAGGCUCAGAGGGUACGUCCGGGGUAGGAGUGAAAUCCCGUAAUCCCGGACGGACCACCGAUGGCGAAAGCACUCUGAGAAGACGGCUUCGACAGUGAGGGACGAAAGCUAGGGUCUCAAACCGGAUUAGAUACCCGGGUAGUC